GAAACAAAGAUGGCGCCGACAUCCAGCCUUGUCUGGAUAUAAACGACUUACUGCGCAUGUGCAGGCUUGUCCCCUUGCUAGGGCUCCCUCUAGUGGUGAACAGCGGUACUACACAUGUGCGGUUUAUGCACCAGGUGUCAGUUGACUGUUAAUAUGCUAAUGAGGUGAUUCAUUCUCCGCCAAUCCCUGGAGGACAAGUAGUGGGGUGAUCCAUGCCCCACCAAUCCCUGAGAGAUAAUUAGCAUACUGUUGUCUAUAUAAGUCGAGCGAUUUUGCUGCUCGGGGUCCCUGUUCAAGAGAGCUGUAACACUAAGAAGAGCUGUAACACAGUAAAGGCUUGCUCGCAGAAGAAUCCUGUUGCCGCGCGUCGUUCUUGCUGGCGGGACAUUGGGCGUGCGACAAGUGGUGCUGAAACCUGGGAACCAACAUCGCCGGUGCCGAGGGGACCCUUCAGUGUGCUGAAGAGGAUUCAGAACUGCGAGAAUAAUCAAGAAAAUCCAAUUUGGGUACCCGAGCGUUUGACUCGAAGAUUGUCUUCUGCUCUUCCUGAAGAUGAGACUACGAACCCUACUAUUACUACUGGGAAUGAACAAAGAAAUCUCGAAUUACCUGAAAGGAAACUGGUCCAUAAAAGCAGAGCAACUAUCAAGACAAUUGCUGAUACAGAUUGCUGUCCUCAACAGCACUAGGCUGGACCCCAUCACAGUUGAAGACUUUACCUCAUGGGUUACCAAUGCUUUCUCCCUUUUUAAGGAGUGGGCAGACAUGUUUGUUCCAGGGAGCUAUUGUCCUCCUGGGAUUCGGAGUAGGUCUCUGGCUUAUUGGCCGUUUAAAAAGAGAACAUGCCAGACACAAAGUGGUUGUUUACCAGGCUAUGACCACCAUUAAAAAGGGUACUUCUCC